CUGUAUAUAAUGGUAUUUACGCAGCUAAUCAACGUCAUUAACAGGCGUCCUUAUGUGCAGCCAUCGUUGUUGUCAUAGAUAUGAAUGAGUAGAUAGGACACGCCCCUUUGAGCUGCGUGCUACAGCGAGGCUAAGCUAGUGGGGGCGUUGAUGUAGACAGCGUGAAAACGGAAACAAGAAGUAUGCCAGCUCACUGUGCUGCAUACAGUUAUACACUACGUCGUACGAUUGAGACAAGGAAACUUGGAAUGACUUUUCAUAGGUUUCCCAGAGACUAUGGGUUGAGGAGGAAUUGGAAGUUUGUCGGCUUAGACCUGGUGUCAUUCCAUCAGUGUUAAACUUCCCGGCUCAUCUUGGAAGAGUAUGUGCCAGAAAGACCACAACCAAGCAGCCUUGAGAUCUUAGACAGCGUCUCCCUCAGACCAAAGAACUACAGACUCUUCACAACCUGCUCAAACUCUUGGUACAGGACCUCACCACACGGGUCAAGAAGGUUUCCAUCUCAUUUCUACUCUGAAGCUCACCUUCUCCUGCUCAAACUGCUGACAAAUGUUUCUGCUGCUCUAAAGUCUGGUCUCCAGAACUUCCUAAAAACUCUCAAAGUCUCUUCUGCUGCAGGUUGCUUUGUAGAACUGUUCCAGAAAACCUCACUAAACCACAUGGAGGGGCCUCAAGAUAGUCGUCCAAAUGAAACCGUACAAAAACCAAACUAACACAACCCAAACGCUAAAGUCUCCUGCAGCCUACCAGAGAACCUCUGAGAACAGAGAAUCAGGACAGGAACUCUUACCUUCUGGACAACCAACGCUGGUUCUCAAACAAGAAUACAGAAUGUAUCUGACCAAAAACCUCUGAAGACUCACUACAGCCAAGAUAAAGACACAACUCAGGUGCAUCAAAUCCACUAAUCACUGCACACAUUAGCACCAUGUGCCAACUGUGGCUAAAGAACCACAUUUACCAAGACAACUAUCCAGUACAAAGCCCUAAAACACACCAAGAAACACAUUAAAGAUGAUUUUACUGCUGGAAGCUUCAAGCCAACGCCUAAAGAACAAACAAAAGCAAUGGAGCCAAACCCGGUUCAGUGGUGAAGAGAAACAGAGGAAAUGUUUGCCUGCAGCCACAUAAACGAGGAAGACACUGAGGUGCUCAGGUGUUCCUGAUAACACCAAGCAGCCACCUGGACAGCCAAUAGGAACACAGCUUACUGGAAGUCCAGAGGGCUGGGUUAGUGAAGGAAAUUUAGUUUAAAGUUGAAGCAGAAAGUUAACAAAGAAAGUUGAAAACCACCUUCUGAUACCUGAAAUCUCUGUGUUUUCACACAAAGAACACCUGAACAUGUUAAACUGGUUCCAUAGUAGAACCAUCAUUGUAAAAACGUCAUAGUAUGGUGUGUUGCUCAAAAAACAUUAGGACCCGGCUGUCAGGGGACAAACAUGUAAGAACCAUGAGAACAGAGAGAACCCAACCAGUAGGUCACAGUUUAUCAUCCCCCAGUCAUCUCCUGAAGUCCAUAUGGUGAGAGACAUCAGUAUCUGGUUGUUAAUUUACCAGAGGAUGCUUAUAAUCAUGCUGAUGUGGUCUGUACUCUACAGUAUUUUAGUGACUCAAUAAAUGCCUAAGUUGUUUUUUUAAAAUGCUUUUUAGUUUUUAAUAAACAUUUAACAGCCUAUAUGUAAUCAAUAAAUGGCCUUUGCCUAUCUUAAGAAAAACUCACUCAGAACUCUGAUAUGUUAACUGUACUAAAUAAAUCAAUAAAUACAUGCAUACACACAUAAAUAAGUUAAUAUAUUAACUGUUAAGAUAAGAUUGAGAUUUUUUUAAAAAAAGUUGUUUAUGUUUUUGCAGAAUCCAGUAUUGCUCACUGGUUGGUCAUUACAUUUUGUUAGUUUGAUUUCACUGU
ensembl:lncRNA